rnacentral:rRNA from 1 species
GACGAACGCUGGCGGCGUGCUUAACACAUGCAAGUCGAACGGAAAGGCCCUGCUUUUGUGGGGUGCUCGAGUGGCGAACGGGUGAGUAACACGUGAGUAACCUGCCCUUGACUUUGGGAUAACUUCAGGAAACUGGGGCUAAUACCGGAUAGGAGCUCCUGCUGCAUGGUGGGGGUUGGAAAGUUUCGGCGGAUGGGGAUGGACUCGCGGCUUAUCAGCUUGUUGGUGGGGUAGUGGCUUACCAAGGCUUUGACGGGUAGCCGGCCUGAGAGGGUGACCGGCCACAUUGGGACUGAGAUACGGCCCAGACUGCUACGGGAGGCAGCAGUGGGGAAUAUUGCACAAUGGGCGGAAGCCUGAUGCAGCAACGCCGCGUGCGGGAUGACGGCCUUCGGGUUGUAAACCGCUUUCGCCUGUGACGAAGCGUGAGUGACGGUAAUGGGUAAAGAAGCACCGGCUAACUACGUG